CUGCAAGAAAAGCAGCAGAGGAACAAAGGGUGGUGGGUGGAGCUAGGAAGAGGAAGCAACUUACUCUGCUUGCUGAUGUCUUAGAGGAAGUGACAAGGAAGAGCGUGAGCCUGCCAGGUGGGCUCCAGCAGGGCUUCCAGCAGAAGUCAGCCAGGAAAAGGCACAGAGAACAUUCUGGGAACUGCAAGGAGGACAGGGUGUGCAGAAUGGAGUGCCAGCAGAUAAGACGAAAGAGGCAGGCAAGGAUCGGGUUGCAGAGAGCCCUUCAGGCUGCAUGGACGAGUUACUAAUUGUAGGCUGGCAGAGAGGCUGAAGCUGGAGCUUUCCAUGAAAAGGGUGGAUGAGGACUAUGCCAGUGGCAGUGUGGCCUAAGUGUAGAUUAGGGACAGACCAGUUAAAGAGGCUGGUGACACAGUUCAGGUAUGAGAUGAGGACCUGAACUACGGGCACACUCCACCUCAGCAGUCAUCAGAAUUCCUGCUUCUUAAUCCAUUCUUUAAGUAUUCAGGUAUUUACUGAGCACCUAGCUGGGGUCUAGGAAGAUAAUAAAGGUUGCCAUGGACCUUUACUGAACUGUGAUUCAUUUUUGCAGGUAAGAUAAAUAUGUGUGAAGUCAUUACAGAACAUUCUGAUAUUAACUAGCCAAGCAUAAAGAUGUGAGGUACAGCUCAUCAGUGCAGCAAGGGACCCAAGAAGGCUAGACUGCAGUGGUCUGUAGUAGUUCAGAAUGCCUUCACCAAGGCAGUGACAUCAGCCAGAUCACGAGGGGUGGGCAGCUACUGCAGAGGUGGCAGGUGGCUUGGUGACCGGGCCCUCCGUGAAGGUCAGAGGUGGAGAAUGGGAAGUGGGUUAUGGGAGACAGAGUCUAUACAGACUUGGAGCGGACAAUCUGGAGUGAGCCAGGCUGUGGAACGCCAGGACCAUGCAAUCUGAACGUGGGCUUGAUGCCAAGUGAUAUCUAAUAGGUCCAAUAAAAGAGGCCUACACAAUGAGGCAACAUGUGAGAAAGGCAGACUCUGGAACAUCAGGGUAAUGUGGUAGAGUUGGACAAAUUCAGAUCCUGUUUCUUCCAUUUAUUGUGAUGUAAUCCUUUGAACAUCAUCCAUUCAACCAAUAGUUACUAAGUACCUACUAUAUGCCAGAAGCCUCAUAUGUAUUAAUUCAAAAUCUUUACAAUUAUUAUCCCCAUUUUACAGACAAGGAAGCUGAGGCACAGACAGGUAACUAGAUCAACUCCUCAGAGACAAAGCCAGAAUUCAAACUAAGCCCCCUCAAAUCCACGUACUGCACCGCCACACUCUGUAAAACGCAGGCAGGCGUCUACAGUGGUAACUAUUUUCUGUUACCAUUUUUAUACUUUCCUCUUCUUGGGUCCAACAUCAAAUCAUCAAGUCCUCAGUAUUCUUCCUAAGAAGUGUCUUUCAACGCCCUCCUUUCCUGCCCGUGCUAGUGGCAGUCCCAGGCCAGGUCUUUCUCUCUUUCCUAAUAACUAGCCUAUUAACCAUCUCCCCCAGCCAGCCAUUUAAAAGUCUCUGCCAAGGAAUUUUUCCAAACCAUAGAUUUCAUCCUGAGUCCCACCUUAUCUGGCCCUUAGCCCCUACCUAAGAACAGCAUGAUGGUCUCUGUAGGACAGUGUUUACACUCCUUAGCCCUGAAUUCAAGGCCCUCCAGGAUCCUGGCCCUGCCCACCUUUCCAGCCAGACGUCCAGUAAUGCCAACUGGCCCACACUGGGACCUCUGUCUCAACUCCAGAAUCUGGGUAAGGCAUCUCCAGGUUCACCUCAAAAUCUCUCCUGCUCCCAAAUGAAACCAGAUGUCCAGUUACUCUCUCAUUCGUUUAUUUGUAUAAGGCCUGCUUACCCCAAAAGUCCAUAAACUCUUAAAGAAUUACGUCUUACACCUAGUGCCUCCAUAUAGCACUAGGCAGUUGACGCUCACCGUAUUUUUUGUCUCCUUUAAAAAUUAUUUAUUUAUUUAUUAACGAGGAGGUCUCGCUAUAUUGCCCAGGCUGGUCUCAAACUCCUGGCCUCAAGCAAUCCUCCCGCUUUGGCCUCCCAAAGUGUUGAGAUUACAGGUGUGAGUCACCGCACCUGAACAAGUGAAACCAACAAUGAGAUGCUGAGGGCCUGGGCUAGGGUGGUCACAGUGGAAAUGGACUGUUAAAAGACAGGUCCAUUUUGAACUCUCCUAAUACAGCUGACCUCUUGACUCCAUGACGCCAAACUCUCCUAGUUUUGCUCAUACCACUUGGCCUAAUUCUCUACUCAACCUCUAAAUGCUGGAGUCUCCCCAAAGCUUUGUCCUAGGGCUUUCUGCUAUAUACAUCAUCUCCCCAUAUGAUCUCCAAUGUUCCUUUGGUUCUAAAUAUCUUAUCGAGAUUCUCACUGGUGUUUCUAAGACUAAAUCUAUGGUCCAAGUCCACUAGGAACACUCAACUUGAACGUCUCACAGGUAUCUCAAACUAAUUACUUCCAGAAAUAGGAAUUUGACAUCUGGUGGUGAACACAGACCUACCACAGCUGUCAAUGUAUAUCAAUACAAUGCUAUCAAGAGCAAAGCACCCUUGGCCCCACUUUUAAAACAAACAAAAAAAAAAAAAAAAAAAAAAGGAAGUAAAAGCUUCAUGUGGCCUGUACUGUUACUUCUCUAUGGAAAGCCACAAGGCCUCAAAACCAGCAAAACAUCUGCUUCUCAGAGACCAGCCUUUACCUUGUGGUUUACCAGAAAUGUAGAGUAGCCUUGAAAAUCGAAACAAAGACAACCACUCACAGUAGUCAAUGAUUGGAAGGGGUCACAGGUGAAAGAGGCUUCUGUUGUGGUUAUCUCCUUGCCCUCUAUAAAUUCACCUCUCUUCAAAUGAAGACCUUGAAGUUUUUAAGACUUUAACAAUUAACACUAUUGACUUACAAAUCAACAGGCCCUAUAAGCCUCUAAAUGCAAGUUCAUGGACACAGUCUGUUUCUUAACAGUCUUCUAGUUGUUGAUCUGAAAUUGGGCAUUUCCAGUGCUGAAAUUGAAGGUCUCAUGAAUUAUUUCUGUGUCCAUUAGUUUUUCUAUCACUCCCAGUGUAUAGAUAUUAGAAUAGCAGGAUGCCAAUGGUAAAGGAGGAAGGAAAUGUAGAAGGCGAGUCACUGGCUUGGCCACUGCUGCCAGAGCUGGGCAGCUCUGCUGUUUAUGCUUCCUAGCUCAUAGCCUGCCCACUCUCAGACGCACGAACUGAGGGUCUUGGGAUGCUGGCACUUGUUUCUCCGGUGUGUUCAUGCCUAACCAACCCAACUAUGUGCUGCUCCUUAGGAACACAAAACAAGUCCUUUUCUGUUUCUGUAUCCCCACAGCCAGGGGACAGAAAAGCAGGCAGAUCUGCAAGUAAGCAAACUGCAGCUCCCCGCAGAAGACACAGAGGCAGUGAGUAAGAGGAACAGACCCAUGGCUCCACUGAAGACAGAGCAACAGACGAAAAAAACACAUUCUAAAUGCUAAAGGUGGGUCCCUCUGUUCUCCUGAGCCUGGGUAGACCUUUGUAACUGUCUUGACCAACACAAUGUGACGGAAUGAUACCAGGUGACUUCUAAGACUACGUCAUACAAAGCAACGCAGCUUCUGCUGGGCUCUCCCUCUCUGGACGUGUAUCUUUGAAGCCCUGAGUCUGGCUUGCCUGAGACCACCAGGGAUGGAGAAAUGCUACAGAAGCCCUAGCUAUUCUAGUCCCCAGCCAUCUGAGUCUUCCUAGCCCAGACUCGUAAGUGAAGAAGCCUUCAAGAUGAUUCAAAUACCACCUGUCACUUGACUACAACCUCGGAAAGCCCAAGUCAGAGCUGCACAGUGGAGCCAUUCCUAAAUUCUUGUCCCACAGAAACUGUGAAAGAUAAUAAAUGAUCAUCAUUGUUUUAA